rnacentral:rRNA from 1 species
UACGAAGGGGGCUAGCGUUGCUCGGAAUUACUGGGCGUAAAGCGCACGUAGGCGGUCUUUUAAGUCGGGGGUGAAAUCCUGGAGCUCAACUCCAGAACUGCCUUCGAUACUGGAAGACUUGAGUCCGGGAGAGGUGAGUGGAACUGCGAGUGUAGAGGUGAAAUUCGUAGAUAUUCGCAAGAACACCAGUGGCGAAGGCGGCUCACUGGCCCGGUACUGACGCUGAGGUGCGAAAGCGUGGGGAGCAAACAGGGAUUAAGAA